GACGAACGCUGGCGGCGUGCUUAACACAUGCAAGUCGAACGGAAAGGCCCUGCUUUUGUGGGGUGCUCGAGUGGCGAACGGGUGAGUAACACGUGAGUAACCUGCCCUUGACUUUGGGAUAACUUCAGGAAACUGGGGCUAAUACCGGAUAGGAGCUCCUGCUGCAUGGUGGGGGUUGGAAAGUUUCGGCGGUUGGGGAUGGACUCGCGGCUUAUCAGCUUGUUGGUGGGGUAGUGGCUUACCAAGGCUUUGACGGGUAGCCGGCCUGAGAGGGUGACCGGCCACAUUGGGACUGAGAUACGGCCCAGACUCCUACGGGAGGCAGCAGUGGGGAAUAUUGCACAAUGGGCGGAAGCCUGAUGCAGCAACGCCGCGUGCGGGAUGACGGCCUUCGGGUUGUAAACCGCUUUCGCCUGUGACGAAGCGUGAGUGACGGUAAUGGGUAAAGAAGCACCGGCUAACUACGUGCCAGCAGCCGCGGUGAUACGUAGGGUGCGAGCGUUGUCCGGAUUUAUUGGGCGUAAAGGGCUCGUAGGUGGUUGAUCGCGUCGGAAGUGUAAUCUUGGGGCUUAACCCUGAGCGUGCUUUCGAUACGGGUUGACUUGAGGAAGGUAGGGGAGAAUGGAAUUCCUGGUGGAGCGGUGGAAUGCGCAGAUAUCAGGAGGAACACCAGUGGCGAAGGCGGUUCUCUGGGCCUUUCCUGACGCUGAGGAGCGAAAGCGUGGGGAGCGAACAGGCUUAGAUACCCUGGUAGUCCACGCUGUAAACGGUGGGUACUAGGUGUGGGGUCCAUUCCACGGGUUCCGUGCCGUAGCUAACGCUUUAAGUACCCCGCCUGGGGAGUACGGCCGCAAGGCUAAAACUCAAAGGAAUUGACGGGGCCCCGCACAAGCGGCGGAGCAUGCGGAUUAAUUCGAUGCAACGCGUAGAACCUUACCUGGGUUUGACAUGGAUCGGGAGUGCUCAGAGAUGGGUGUGCCUCUUUUGGGGUCGGUUCACAGGUGGUGCAUGGCUGUCGUCAGCUCGUGUCGUGAGAUGUUGGGUUAAGUCCCGCAACGAGCGCAACCCUUGUUCACUGUUGCCAGCACGUUAUGGUGGGGACUCAGUGGAGACCGCCGGGGUCAACUCGGAGGAAGGUGGGGAUGACGUCAAGUCAUCAUGCCCCUUAUGUCCAGGGCUUCACGCAUGCUACAAUGGCUGGUACAGAGAGUGGCGAGCCUGUGAGGGUGAGCGAAUCUCGGAAAGCCGGUCUCAGUUCGGAUUGGGGUCUGCAACUCGACCUCAUGAAGUCGGAGUCGCUAGUAAUCGCAGAUCAGCAACGCUGCGGUGAAUACGUUCCCGGGGCUUGUACACACCGCCCGUCAAGUCAUGAAAGUUGGUAACACCCGAAGCCGGUGGCCUAACCGUUGUGGGGGAGCCGUCGAAGGUGGGACUGGUGAUUAGGACUAAGUCGUAACAAGGUAGCCGUACCGGAAGG
rnacentral:rRNA from 1 species